rnacentral:lncRNA from 1 species
AUGGCAGUGGGGAGGAGGAACCAUAAAAAUGGGGAUCAGAGGCCAAUUAUUUUCAUGGAAAUAGAAAAAUUGGAAGAUGGAGGUUCUUUCAAUCCUUCUACAAACUUUUCACUCAAAAGCAAAGGAGCAAUUAGUGUUUCAUUGCUCUCUCAUGCUCAAAGAGCUCUCUCUCUGUGUUUUCUGUUUCUCUCCAUCUAAUUUUUACUAAUGCAGGCCUUUGCCAUUUAUCUGUGACCUACGAUGGCAUCUUCUAAAACAUAUGUAGUUUCUGCAUUGUCAAUAUUUGAAAAGAUGACUUGUUUCUCUUAAAUUCCAUGCCUGUUGGUGUUUUCCUGUGUUUAGAAGGACAAGGCAAGUUAUCUGCCUUUUUCAUCUCACACUAAAGUUUUAUCUCUCACUUGAGGAUCGUUUUCCUCAAAGAAGCAAAGAUUUUAUCACUCACUAGAGUAACUAUGUACACAAGAUGAAUAGAGAACAACAAACCCAUGUUGAGAUGCUGAUGUUGAGCAGUUAGCUCGACAACUGAACUGAGCAAUACAGAUGUCUGUAAGAAAGGCAAUUCAGCUCAUUCCCGAAUACAUGAAACUUAGUUAAGUCUGUGACUUCCUGGGGAUCCAUGCCAUAGCAUUUAUCUCUCUGUAUCAACAGUGAGUGUUCAUGUCUUUUUCUCUUUAACCAUAUCUUGAGUCCCAUGUCUUCUUUAAAGAAGUAAAGUCCCAAAUAUAGUAGCCCAUUACAGAAACUAAGUAAAUAUUUGUUGAAUGAAUGAAUGAAGAGUUAUUUAUCAGAGAAGUGUAGUAUUCAUUCCGAGCACAUCUCAUAUAACAAUUUUUGGACCAGGUCAUUUUAAAGAAAUGUCCAUGAGGCGGAGCACAUCCUAACUCUAAGCAGGUGUAUAUUUAUUCUUUGUCUGCAGAAUAUAGAGGAAAUGCAUCUAGAAGUUUGUGGAUAGGCACAAUCCUGCCAUCUUUGUUUUCAGGUAAAGAAGUUGGUCAUGUUGUACAUACUGGAUCAACAUGACUGGGUUAUUGGGUUUCUCUAGGGCAUCUCGUACUCAGGAGCCCUAACCUCUGG